GCAGUAUGUCAGUGCUAAUGAAUACUUAUUCCAAGUUUUAGACACUGAGGGUCAUGUAAAAGUUUUGGGAAUCGGCCCUAGUUGGAGAGUCAUCACCCAAGAUGACGACAAAACUCGUAGAAGCAUUGAAUUAAAUGAAAUGGAUUACGAAGCUUCCGAUGAAUUUUCG